CGGCCAUAGCGGUCUCAGGACUCUGUCCGAGAUCAGUUUCGUUAGUUAAAUGCGCGCACAGGGAUAGCGAGGAACAGGUCGACGACUAAGCUUCUGGAUUUAUGUCACGUAUAUAGACAUCAGAAAACUUUUUUCGAAAGUUUCUUCUACUUCUUCCACUUUUUGGAGAGAAUUCAUCCCCUGGAAUUUGGUUGAAGCGCAGGACCUCGUGUGAUGCAAACAGUGAAUAUAGCCAUGAAGAUUUAUUGGAUUCUUGCACUAUUUCUAACUGGCGCUUCCUCUGUUUCUGUGGUGCUGAAUCACCCAACAUCACUUCCCUGCGGCAACUGUGAAAACGUCGUGUGGCGUAAGAUCUUCCCCAUAGAAGCAACUGUUGCCGACUGCCAAAAGCGGAAAUGCAUCAUAAAAGAAAGCUUUCGGCAAAGAUUCAACGUCAUGCAUGAAGAAAACAACUCCCUAUUUCUCAAGUCAGCAAAAUACAAUGAC